CAUGGCUGGUGGUCCCAAGAAGCAUCUAAAGUGGGUAGCAGCUCCAAAUCACUGGAUGCUGGAUAAAUUGUCCAGUGUGUUUGUUCAUCGUCCAUCCCCCAGUCCCCACAAGUUGAGAGAGUGUCUCCCCGUCAUCAUUUUCCUAAGGAACAGACUUAAGUAUGCCUUGACAGGAGAAGAUUUGCAUGCAGUGGUUCAUUAAGAUUGAUGGCAACGUUCGAACUGAUAUAACCCACCCUGCUGGAUUCAUAGAUGUCAUGGGCAUUGACUAGAUGGGAGAGAAUUUUCGUCUCAUCUAUGACACCAAGGGUUGCUUUGCUGUACAUCGUGUUACACCUGAGGAGCCCAAGUACAAGUUGUGCAAAGUGAGAAAAAUCUUCGUGGGCACAAAAGGAAUCCCUCAUCUGGUGACUCAUGAUGCUCGCAUCAUCUGCUACCCUGAUCCCCUCCAUCAAGGUGAAUGAUCCCAUUCAGAUUGAUUUGGAAACUGGCAAGAUCACUGAUUUCAUCAAGUUUGACACUGGUAACCUGUGGAUGGUGACUGGAGGUGCUAACUUGGGAAGAACUGGUGUCAUUACCCACAGAGAGAGGCACCCUUGAUCUUUUGAUGUGGUUCACGUGAAAGAUGCCAAUGGAACAGCUUUGCCACCUGGCUUUCCAACGUUUUUGUUACUGGCAAGGGCAACAAACCAUUAAUUUCUCUUCCCUGAGGAAACGUAUACGCCUCACCAUUGCUGAAGACGGAGACAAGAGACUGGCAGCCAAACACAGCAGUAGGU
rnacentral:lncRNA from 1 species